rnacentral:rRNA from 1 species
GCCUAAAGCGUCCGUAGCCGGCUCUGUUAGUUUUCGGUUAAAUCCAUAUGCUCAACAUAUGGGCCGCCGGGAAUACUACAAAGCUAGGGAGUGGGAGAGGUAGACGGUACUCCGUAGGAAGGGGUAAAAUCCUUUGAUCUAUGGAUGACCACCAGUGGCGAAGGCGGUCUACCAGAACACGUUCGACGGUGAGGGAUGAAAGCUGGGGGAGCAAACCGGAUUAGAUACCCGGGUAGUCUCAGCUGUAAACUAUGCAAACUCAGUGAUGCAUUGGCUUGUGGCCAGUGCAGUGCCGCAGAGAAGUCGUUAAGUUUGCCGCCUGGGAAGUACGUACGCAAGUAUGAAACUUAAAGGAAUUGGCGGGGGAGCACCACAAGGGGUGAAGCCUGCGGUUCAAUUGGAGUCAACGCCAGAAAUCUUACCCGGAGAGACAGCAGAAUGAAGGUCAAGUUGAAGCCUUUACCAGACAAGCUGAGAAGUGGUGCAUGGCCGUCGCCAGCUCGUGCCGUGAGGUGUCCUGUUAAGUCAGGUAACGAGCGAGAUCCUUGCCUCUAGUUGCUACCAUUACUCUCAGGAGUAGUGGGGCGAAUUAGCGGGACUGCCGUAGUUAAUACGGAGGAAGGAGAGGGCCACGGCAGGUCAGUAUGCCCCGAA